rnacentral:rRNA from 1 species
GACCCGUCUUGAAGCACGGACCAAGGAGUCUAACAUGUGCGCGAGUCACUCGGUCUUGCUUAGGCCAGAGAGGCGCAAUGAAAGUAAAUUUGCUAAGUUACGAUCCGUACGCGGUCAUUCCUCCGUGGGUGACGGUGCGGCGCAGUAACAGCCCGCCAAUUCCGUUUAUCAGCGGUCUGGCGGAGUUGUAGCGUACACGUUGGUACCCGAAAGAUGGUGAACUAUGCUUGGGCAAGACGAAGCCAGAGGAAACUCUGGUGGAGGUCUGUAGCGAUUCUGACGUGCAAAUCGAUCGUCAGACCUGAGUAUAGGGGCGAAAGACUAAUCGAACCAUCUAGUAGCUGGUUCCCUCUGAAGUUUCCCUCAGGAUAGCAGACAAUCGGUUGAGACGCAGUCUCAUCCGGUAAAGCGAAUGAUUAGAGGCAUUGGGGUCGAAACGACCUCAACCUAUUCUCAAACUUUAAAUGGGUGAGAAGUAUGACUCGUUUGAUUAGAGCCAUACGAUCGGAUGUAUGAUUGUCUAGUGGGCCAUUUUUGGUAAGCAGAACUGGCGCUGUGGG